rnacentral:rRNA from 1 species
UACGUAGGUGGCGAACGUUGUCCGGAAUUACUGGGCGUAAAGCGUGCGCAGGCGGUGAUGUAAGACAGGCGUGAAAUCCCCGGGCUUAACCUGGGAACUGCAUUUGUGACUGCAUCGCUGGAGUGCGGCAGAGGGGGAUGGAAUUCCGCGUGUAGCAGUGAAAUGCGUAGAUAUGCGGAGGAACACCGAUGGCGAAGGCAAUCCCCUGGGCCUGCACUGACGCUCAUGCACGAAAGCGUGGGGAGCAAACAGG